CUUGGGAAAUCGUUUGCGUGCCUUUUUUCCUACCCAAUCCCCUGAUUAAAAAAAUCUUCUAAACCCUCUCUCUUUAUAAUAACUAGGUGAUCCCUCCCUUUUUAAGCUUGUCCCCUUAUCUGAAGGUAUCAACUGUCAUAAAAACAAAAAUAAUCAAAAUAAAAAUCAGUAAUCAAUGAUAAUUUACACAACACAAUCAUAUAAUUUUUUUUAC
rnacentral:lncRNA from 1 species